UGGCGCCCGGGAAGAGGUGGCUGUAAGGGAAACGAGCUUACGGCUCUCCGGCUUCCGAGGCUUGAGGUUUGUCGGAGGGAGGGGGAGGCGAGGGAGAAGAAUCCACUGCAGCCGGUCCUCGGCGACUCUCCUGCUGACCUCCGCGCGACGUACCCGCCGCUGCUGUUGGUUGGAGCAUUUGACAUUGUGCAGCAAAGAAAUGGUUAUGGAGAAGCCCAGUCUGCUGCUUGUAGGGCGGGAGUUUGUGAGGCAAUAUUAUACUUUGCUGAAUAAAGCUCCAGAAUAUUUACACAGGUUUUAUGGCAGGAAUUCUUCCUAUGUUCAUGGUGGAGGAGAUGCUAGUGGAAAGCCCCAGGAAGCUGUUUAUGGCCAAAAUGAUAUACACCACAAAGUAUUAUCUCUGAACUUCAGUGAAUGUCAUACUAAAAUUCGUCAUGUGGAUGCUCAUGCAACCUUGAGUGAUGGAGUAGUUGUCCAGGUUAUGGGUUUGCUAUCUAAUAGUGGUCAGCCAGAGAGGAAGUUUAUGCAAACCUUUGUUCUGGCUCCUGAAGGAUCUGUUCCAAAUAAGUUUUAUGUUCACAAUGAUAUGUUUCAUUACGAAGAUGAAGUAUUGGGUGAUUCUGAACCAGAACUUGACAAAGAAUCAGAAGAUGAGGUAGAAGAGGAACAAGAAGAAAGGCAACCAUCUCCAGAACCUGUGCAAGAAAAUGCUGAUAGUGGUUACUAUGAAGCUCACCCUGUGGCUAAUGGCAUAGAGGAGCCUUUGGAAGAAUCCUCUCAUGAACCUGAACCUGAACCUGAGCCAGAAUCUGAAACAAAGACUGAAGAACUAAAGCCGCAAGUGGAGGAGAAGAACUUAGAAGAGUUAGAGGAGAAGUCGACUUCUCCUCCUCCCGCUGAACCUGUUUCUCUGCCACAGGAACCACCAAAGCCAAGAGUUGAAGCUAAACCAGAAGUUGUCUCAGCCACCUCGUGUGCGUGAACAAUGACCUAGAGAACGACCUGGUUUCCCUCCUAGAGGACCAAGACCAGGCCGAGGAGAUACUGAACAGAACGAAUCUGACAACCGUAGAAUAAUUUGCUAUCUAGACAGUCAUCAGCUUUUUGUUGGUAACUUGCCACAUGAUAUUGAUGAAAAUGAACUGAAAGAGUUCUUCAUGAGUUUUGGAAACGUUGUGGAACUUCGCAUCAAUACUAAGGGUGUUGGGGGAAAGCUUCCAAACUUUGGUUUUGUGGUUUUUGAUGACUCUGAACCAGUUCAGAGAAUCUUAAUUGCAAAACCAAUUAUGUUCCGAGGUGAAGUACGUUUAAAUGUGGAAGAGAAAAAAACAAGAGCUGCAAGAGAGCGAGAAACCAGAGGUGGUGGCGAUGAUCGCAGGGAUAUUAGGCGCAAUGAUCGAGGUCCUGGUGGUCCACGUGGCAUUGUGGGUGGUGGAAUGAUGCGUGACCGGGAUGGAAGAGGACCUCCUCCGAGAGGUGGCAUGGCACAGAAACUGGGCUCUGGAAGAGGAACCGGGCAGAUGGAAGGCCGCUUCACAGGACAGCGUCGCUGAAGCUCCACUGUUGGCAAAGUCUUGGCAGUGGUACAUUAUUCAUCGUGUUUGCAUUCUUGUUAAUUUUUUUUUGGCUUUGGAAUGUGACACAGCCUUUUUGAUCAUUUCUUUGAUGUGAAAAGCAUCUUUUGGUUAUCAGUUAAAUUGAGGUGGACAUUAUUUCCCCAAUUUCACAACAGGAUUCACAUUGUUAAUUUAUAAAUCUAGACUUGGAGAACUAAGGACUGAGAAAUGACCAUAUCUUAAACUAUCUACAACAAAAUGAACUUAAAAGGACAUGCCCAACUGAAUUCAGGUCCUUUGAGUCAAAAAAAAAUCCUCUGCUGCACAUUUUGUUUAAGUGUUACUGUUUCUGCCUAUUAAUGUUGGAAACACAAAUAGUGCAAUUUGUGCAAUUGGAGAAUCUUGCCUUUUUUCUUGGCUCCUCCCCAAAAUACAACCCAACAGAAACUUGUUAUGCACUCAUCAAAAUGCACUAAUGGGUACUCUGAACUCAUUAACAUUGACAUCUGCAACAGGAGGCAACAGGGGGAAAAAAAAUCUUUCAUCUUUUUUUUCCAGUAGAGAAUAGUUUGUGAAAUGAUGAGGGCAUUUUAUCUGCUUGCUGUGACCAGCAUGUGUACACAUAAACCUUAACAAGACUACAAGUAUAUUCCAGAAGGGAAUCAUUUAGUUAUAAACUAAAUAACAAAAAUCAGAACUUCAAAUGCUAUGGUCUUGAAUAUUAGACCAGAUUUAGUAGCUCCAUAUCUAAGAUUUUUCUACCUGCCCCUCUUCAGUACAGGGAUGGCUGGCUGCUCAACACACUCCUCCUCCCUUUUUCCUUUCUUUAAGCUGUGUACAGUGAAAAUUGUCUUUACUGUAUUUUUGUUCUCUGGUAAUGUAAUAAGCAUGAUGGUGCCUUCUAUUAAUACAUCAUUCCAGUCUUGCUGGUAAUUUUGUACAGUAUAGUGUAUGAAUUGCUGUGCUGCAAAGCCAAACAGCUGCAAAAUGUUGAAAAAUCAUUGAAGUGUAUAAAAAUUGCAGUAUCUUUAAAAUCAGUAAAAUUGACUAGCAUAUUAUUUACUUUGUUCUUCAGUUAAC